ensembl:lncRNA
AAGAAGUCUUUCUAAACAUGGCGGCUGUGUUGUGGGAGGAUCGCUGUGAACUUUCUAGAGAGUUGGUGAGAGAUAUUUUAGACCUUGCCGAGUGUGUGGAAGCAGGAGCUGCUGACCCCGAGCAUGUAGCGUGUAAAGCAGAGGAAUUUAUUGAAGUUGUUGGAGUUAUUUCCGCACUUUCCGACCAAGAUGUUGACCGUAGAGUGACUGCAAAUUUAGAAGUACUCCGCCGCUUUUCUGGUACCAGGGCGCAACAGGAGCACACACAGGGACCAGGGCGUUUGGCAUACCGAGGGAAGUUCUGGAACAUCACGUUCUUUGUGGAUUACUAGCCUGUCAAAUUGCAGCGAAGCUCCGAGUGUCCAGGGCUUUUCCUUUAGGACCAACUCGGCACGGUACGGCUCGUCUCAUCUUUGUUUGCGAGCGUUUCCAUACGGACUAGUGCCUGGUACCAGGCACUAUUUUCAGCACCUUCUCGACUGAGGUUCCCAGCCAGCUGGGACUAGCCGAUAAUGUGGCGUUAUAGUGCAGGCCACUGAUUGGACAGGGAGUGACGACACCACAGAGCAACUCCUGCACGAAAACAAAACCCAACAUUAAAAACCAACUGUAAACAGCGACGGUGUGCAUUGCCCUUCACACAACUCUCUGUUCUUCAUAAUUUUAAUAUGACAGCCAGACCUGUACCGUGGGUGAAUGAAUAGGUCGAGACUUUUCUGUCUUUGAUGGCGGAGCAAAGAAUACAGAGGGAGCUGGACGGAGAACGUUUAUCAGGAGGUCUCUGGGCGGAUGGCCGUUCACAUAUACAGUAGACUGUAUAUAAAGAGGACAAUGAAGCACUGUAGGGAGAAGCUGAAAAAGCUCAAAAGUGACUAUUGGUCCACAACGGCCGGUGCGGGUCAACCAGGAGGUGUUGGAAGAGGUUUAAUGGACACUAUUUACUGGCACCGCACCGCCAGCAACAGGAGGGAGACUCAGCCGCUGCAUUGUUGGAGACGUUCGAGGACGAAUCCCUUUCCACAUGCGAAGCCUACUCCACCUCCGUCAUGGAGCCCCCAGCUCCCCUGCCUCCUCUCCACCACCAGCAGCGGCUCCUCUGCAGCACCAGCUUCGACACCAGUACCAGCUCGAACGCCGACACUGUCAACAUCAACCUCCAGCACGUCACAGCAACGUCUUAUCACCGGCAAGAGGAAAAGGUGUAACAGAAAAUUGGACCUUCCAAGCAUACUUGUGGAGAUGCAGGCUGAGGAGGAGCGGAACCGUGCCCAGCAUGACGAGAACAUCCAGUUGCUCCUCAAGCGAGGCAAGAGAGAAUGAAGCGGCCUUGCAGCGGGAGUAGAUGGCCCAGAAUGCUGCCUUCAACAUCAACAAAUGAUGUUAAGGGACUUUUGGCUCGCCGUGCUAUGACGACUCCACCCACGAUGAGGCUAUAUGGAAAAACAACUAAACCGAGACGAGCCGAGUCAAAUACAAUAGUGGCGAGCCGCACCGCACCGAGUAGGUACUUGUGGAAUUGCGGCUAUAGAGACACAAAUUAGCCCUUACUCUGUCUGAUGUCUCAUUAAUCAACUAAAACUCCAUUAAAGUACAUUUUGCAUAUUAAACAUUAUGUCCCUUGUCUAU